rnacentral:rRNA from 1 species
UACGAAGGGGGCUAGCGUUGUUCGGAAUUACUGGGCGUAAAGCGCACGUAGGCGGCUCAGCAAGUCAGGGGUGAAAUCCCGGGGCUCAACCCCGGAACUGCCCUUGAAACUGCUAAGCUAGAAUCUUGGAGAGGCGAGUGGAACUCCGAGUGUAGAGGUGAAAUUCGUAGAUAUUCGGAAGAACACCAGUGGCGAAGGCGACUCGCUGGACAAGUAUUGACGCUGAGGUGCGAAAGCGUGGGGAGCAAACAGG